rnacentral:rRNA from 1 species
GGUCAAGUGAAGAAGCGCAUACGGUGGAUGCCUUGGCAGUCAGAGGCGAUGAAAGACGUUGUAGCCUGCGAUAAGCUCCGGGGAGUCGGCAAACAGACUUUGAUCCGGAGAUCUCUGAAUGGGGGAACCCAGCCAGCAUAAGCUGGUUAUUACACACUGAAUACAUAGGUGUGUAAGGCGAACCAGGGGAACUGAAACAUCUAAGUACCCUGAGGAAUAGAAAUCAACCGAGAUUCCCUUAGUAGUGGCGAGCGAACGGGGACUAGCCCUUAAGUGGCUUUGAGAUUAGUGGAAGGCUCUGGAAAGUGCCGCCGUAGUGGGUGAUAGCCCCGUACACGAAAAUCUCUUAGUCAUGAAAUCGAGUAGGACGGAGCACGAGAAACUUUGUCUGAAUAUGGGGGGACCAUCCUCCAAGGCUAAAUACUACUGACUGACCGAUAGUGAACUAGUACCGUGAGGGAAAGGCGAAAAGAACCCCGGAGAGGGGAGUGAAAUAGAUCCUGAAACCGUAUGCGUACAAGCAGUGGGAGCCUACUUUGUUGGGUGACUGCGUACCUUUUGUAUAAUGGGUCAGCGACUUAUUUUCAGUGGCAAGCUUAACCGAAUAGGGGAGGCGUAGCGAAAGCGAGUCUUAAUAGGGCGUCUAGUCGCUGGGAAUAGACCCGAAACCGGGCGAUCUAUCCAUGGGCAGGUUGAAGGUUGGGUAACACUAACUGGAGGACCGAACCGACUACCGUUGAAAAGUUAGCGGAUGACCUGUGGAUCGGAGUGAAAGGCUAAUCAAGCUCGGAGAUAGCUGGUUCUCCUCGAAAGCUAUUUAGGUAGCGCCUCGUGUAUCACUGUUGGGGGUAGAGCACUGUUUCGGCUAGGGGGUCAUCCCGACUUACCAACCCGAUGCAAACUCCGAAUACCAACAAGUGUCAGCACGGGAGACACACGGCGGGUGCUAACGUCCGUCGUGAAAAGGGAAACAACCCAGACCGUCAGCUAAGGUCCCAAAGUUAUGGUUAAGUGGGAAACGAUGUGGGAAGGCUUAGACAGCUAGGAGGUUGGCUUAGAAGCAGCCACCCUUUAAAGAAAGCGUAAUAGCUCACUAGUCGAGUCGGCCUGCGCGGAAGAUGUAACGGGGCUCAAACCAUACACCGAAGCUACGGGUUCAUCUUAGGAUGAGCGGUAGAGGAGCGUUCUGUAAGCCUGUGAAGGUGAGUUGAGAAGCUUGCUGGAGGUAUCAGAAGUGCGAAUGCUGACAUGAGUAACGACAAUGGGAGUGAAAAACUCCCACGCCGAAAGACCAAGGUUUCCUGCGCAACGUUAAUCGACGCAGGGUGAGUCGGCCCCUAAGGUGAGGCAGAAAUGCGUAAUCGAUGGGAAACGGGUUAAUAUUCCCGUACUUCUAAUUACUGCGAUGGAGGGACGGAGAAGGCUAGGCCAGCACGGCGUUGGUUGUCCGUGUUUAAGGUGGUAGGCUGAUUUCUUAGGUAAAUCCGGGAGAUCAAGGCCGAGAACUGAUGACGAGUUAUCUUUUAGAUGACGAAGUGGUUGAUGCCAUGCUUCCAGGAAAAGCUUCUAAGCUUCAGGUAAUUAGGAACCGUACCCCAAACCGACACAGGUGGUUAGGUAGAGAAUACCAAGGCGCUUGAGAGAACUCGGGUGAAGGAACUAGGCAAAAUGGCACCGUAACUUCGGGAGAAGGUGCGCCGGUGAGGGUGAAGCAUUUACUGCGUAAGCCCACGCCGGUCGAAGAUACCAGGCCGCUGCGACUGUUUAUUAAAAACACAGCACUCUGCAAACACGAAAGUGGACGUAUAGGGUGUGACGCCUGCCCGGUGCCGGAAGGUUAAUUGAUGGGGUUAGCUAACGCGAAGCUCUUGAUCGAAGCCCCGGUAAACGGCGGCCGUAACUAUAACGGUCCUAAGGUAGCGAAAUUCCUUGUCGGGUAAGUUCCGACCUGCACGAAUGGCGUAACGAUGGCGGCGCUGUCUCCACCCGAGACUCAGUG